rnacentral:rRNA from 1 species
UGGGGAAUUUUGGACAAUGGGCGCAAGCCUGAUCCAGCCAUGCCGCGUGCAGGAUGAAGGCCUUCGGGUUGUAAACUGCUUUUGUACGGAACGAAAAGACUCCUUCUAAUAAAGGGGGUCCAUGACGGUACCGUAAGAAUAAGCACCGGCUAACUACGUGCCAGCAGCCGCGGUAAUACGUAGGGUGCGAGCGUUAAUCGGAAUUACUGGGCGUAAAGCGUACGCAGGCGGUUAUAUAAGACAGAGGUGAAAUCCCCGGGCUCAACCUGGGAACUGCCUUUGUGACUGCAUAGCUAGAGUACGGUAGAGGGGGAUGGAAUUCCGUGUGUAGCAGUGAAAUGCGUAGAUAUGCGGAGGAACACCGAUGGCGAAGGCAAUCCCCUGGACCUGUACUGACGCUCAUGCACGAAAGCGUGGAGGGCAAACA